rnacentral:rRNA from 1 species
GAUGAACGCUGGCGGCGUGCUUAACACAUGCAAGUCGAACGGUGAAGGCGGAGCUUGCUCUGCUGGAUCAGUGGCGAACGGGUGAGUAACACGUGAGCAAUCUGCCCCUGACUCUGGGAUAAGCGCUGGAAACGGCGUCUAAUACUGGAUACGAGCUGCGAAGGCAUCUUCAGCAGCUGGAAAGAACUUCGGUCAGGGAUGAGCUCGCGGCCUAUCAGCUUGUUGGUGAGGUAACGGCUCACCAAGGCGUCGACGGGUAGCCGGCCUGAGAGGGUGACCGGCCACACUGGGACUGAGACACGGCCGAGACUCCUACGGGAGGCAGCAGUGGGGAAUAUUGCACAAUGGGCGAAAGCCUGAUGCAGCAACGCCGCGUGAGGGACGACGGCCUUCGGGUUGUAAACCUCUUUUAGCAGGGAAGAAGCGAAAGUGACGGUACCUGCAGAAAAAGCGCCGGCUAACUACGUG